AUAUUAUCUAGGUAGCGAUGAUUUUUCUGCACGUAAAUGCAAUUUAUUGGAUACUACUGUUAUAUUCUUGAUGUUAUUUAAUGAUAUAUAUUCAUGUUUUUGUAUUGUUUUCGUUGUUGUUGCGCAUUACACACAUAAGUGUAAGUUUGACAGUAAAUGUGUAAUGUUAACACUGUUACACAUAGUUUAUGGUACCGACUAAAUCAUGGACAAGUAAGAAUACAGCCUUGUAAAUUUCAAAAUUCUGAAAGGGGCAUAUGAUGUAAUACUGGUAUGUAACUAUAAAUACAGAUUAUAGCUACUAUAAGAUUUGUCCUUGAAAAAAUCAACAGUUUCUACUGAACAUACAUUGUCAAAGUGUUUUAUCAGUUACUAUCCUGGUUCUUUUUUUUUAGCAAAUCUGAUUUUUGAACAAAAUCUAUGAGGUAAUCUGAUUUUUGAACAAAAUCUGUGAGGUAAUCUGAUUUUUGAAAAAAAAUCUUUGAGGUAUUGUCAUCAUUUGAUGGUUGGAAUUGGUUAUGAUUUUGUUAAUAGGUCCACUCUUUCUUGAAUGUUAUAAGAGCUAUAGGUUUGAAACUUUGUACAUUCAUGUAUCAUCAUUAUAUUAAUAAGUAGGCCAAGAACCAUAACUCUUACUUGCAUUAUGUCAGAAUUACGGCUCUUUUUGUACUUAAAAAAUUUGUAUUUCUUGGUGAAUGUUUUUGUUUAGGUCCGUUUUCUUGAAUACUGUAUUAAGAGCUAUAGCUUUUAAAUUGUACAUCUAUUUAUUAUCAGUGGGUUAGUAUAAAAGCCAAGAACCAUAACUCUUUUCUUGCAUUUUGCUUAAUGUCAAUAAGCAUGGAAUGUUUGAUGUUUAUUAUUCAAUCAGUUUAUUUGAGUACAGAAUGUUUCUUUUAAAAUGAACUGUCUACUGGAAGUAAACUAGAAAACAGCACAUAAAAGAGUUCAAAAAACAUAUUAAGAAUUUACACAAAUUUGCAAUUUUCUUGGCAUGUUAAUGCUCGUUGAUACUAACAAAGUCUAUUUACAAGAUGCGUAUCUCAUUUUACCACACUUUUCUUGAGUUAAUUUUUGUUUAAUGUCCUUUGAUCAAAAUCUUGCAUAGGCAUUGACAAAGAUGAAUACUUCUCAAUCGCAGUGGAAGAAUGACAGCUGUGUAUGGGAGAUUGAACCUGGAUAUCCAUGUCAUGUGAACGUGGACUUGGUCCAAAAUGAACAAAAUAUGAACCAUUUCUACAUUUGUAUGUUGUACUGUGAAAAAAUAACAGGAUUGCUAAAAAUGUAAAAUUCAGUCAUUUUUGUUGCUUAAGACUGUUUUGUUUGAUCUUUUGUUUAUUUCAACACUGCUUUGUUAAGUGGCACUGUUCUGUAACCCCCUCUCUUCCUUAGUUUCCAGACUUCCCCACUUUUUAUGUAGGUCGCCAAAAUUCUUUUAAACCCAUAUUCAGUUACUUGUGCAACCAUAAGAAGUAUAUUGAGAGCUAUGCUGUGAUGGAUCACUUUUUAUAUAUCACGUUUAUGAAGAAUAUGAACCUGUUAUAAUAGAAUAUUGCAUUUUAGAAAAACUUUAACAAAUUGUAUUUAAAGACUGACAAAAUUGUGUGAAAAAAAAAAUUGUGGUUUGGUGCAAGAACUAUUUCCGACACUAAUAUUUCUCACAUUUGAAAAUGUAAAAAUAGGAUGUUGUUGUUCACAGGGGUGUGAAGAAUUUUUGAAAAGUUUGGUCCAACAGAGUUGUCGUCACCUUGGUGCAAUAUUUAUAGGUUAUUAGCUUUGUAUUGGGAAAUAUGCACAAGUUCUGCAGCGGAAAUAUUGCGUAACUUUAGGAGCGUAAUAUUGUUCUGCUAAAGAAUGAGUGCAUAUUUCCCUAUGCAAAGAUAAUAACCUUUUUAUUACAAACGUAUCUACACGUAUAAAUGUAUAUAAUGUUAAUAUAAUGAAUUUGUUAAAAAGCCUGAAUAAAAUUGAUAAUAUUGAACUAAAUAAAAGAAUUAAUGCAAUGACACUAAUUAAAUACACCAGAUAUGAAAUUCAGUCGUCACUGUAUGGAAAAAUAUUGACGUUUCCGGUACCAUUCAAACUUAACGGGAAAUAGAAACAAGUAUGUAAUAAAUGAUAAUAUAAAGUUAUUAUGUAGGUUUUGAUAUAAUUUUUACAGAAUGUUACUAUUUAUGACAAACAUUAGACGGAUACCUCAAUUAUACCCCCCAAGUUUUGUCUGUUAAUGCAUAUACAUGUAUAUUUAACACAAGAUAGACAAGUGUUAAGAAUCAAGCGAUUAUGUUUGUACUGGUAUUAUAUACCAUCUUGCUUGAAUGAAAUUACAGUCAGCAACAGACUGAUUACAAGUAUUUAGAUAUUUAAAAUAUUUAAACAGCAAUUAUCAAGGGGAAAUAAUGAGUCUUAUUAAUUAUGAAAUUAUCUGUUACAUCAUUCAUUACCUGAUCAGUCACAGACACAACUUAGUAAUAAAAAAAAUCAAAGCGCAAGUCCGAAAAUUUUGCAUAAACUUAACAUAGUUUUGGUUUGGUUAUAUUUUUAUCUUAUGUGUGCGUAUUUUAUUUUGUUUUUUGCAUUUCAUGUUCAGCAUUUUUGUAAAACUGGAACCUUAUCUAUUAUAAAGUUGCUAGUUCACAUAUUGUUUGAUUUUUUAAUGAUUUGCCAUACGAGGUAAUUUUGUAUAUUUAGGAAUCCUGUGCAUAUAUUGUUUUAUUUAUUCCAUUAACAGAUUGUUUAAAUAAUUAUUAUAUUAAAUGUGACACUUAAUAAAAAAGACAAAAACUUU